AUACGGAGGAUCCGAGCGUUAUCCGGAUUUAUUGGGUUUAAAGGGUGCGCAGGCGGCCAUUUAAGUCAGCGGUUAAAUCGUGGGGCUCAACCCCAUUCUGCCGUUGAUACUGGGUGGCUUGAUUGCGGUCGAGGUUGGCGGAAUUCGUUGUGUAGCGGGGAAAUGCAUAGAUAUGACGAAGAACACCGAUUGCGUAGGCAGCUGACCAGACCGCAAAUGACGCUCAUGCACGAAAGUGCGGGGAUCGAACAGGAUUAGAUACCCUGGUAGUCCGCACAGUAAACGAUGAAUACUUGUUUUCGGCGAUAUAAUGUCGGAGGCAAAGCGAAAGCGAUAAGUAUUCCACCUGGGGAGUACGCCGGAAACGGUGAAACUCAAAUGAAUUGGCGGG
rnacentral:rRNA from 1 species